UCAACGAGAGUAAACACAUUUAAUCUGUGUUCGAAUAUUAAAUCAAGUUUGUCAUACUGUUGAUGUACGAUCUUUAUCAAGUAUGCGUUUCACAAAUACGGUUUGAAUUGAAAAGUAGCACUCUUGAGUAAAAGUCUAGGAUUUCUAAACAAGUUAUAGUUGCAAGUAAAAAUUUGAAUCACAAUUAAUUACUAGUGGAUUAUGAUGGAACCACAAACAAAACGCCGCCGGAAUAGAAAACUUCCAAAGUUCUGGAUAAUAGUUAUUGCAUUAAUAUUUGCCAAUUUUGGGUUUCUUACAUACAACGUAUCCAUAUUGAAGCCAUAUCCUGCGAAUCUUCUAGUCUUACAAUCGGCUGAUUUACUGUUAACCACCACCAAGCAGAUCGCGUUGCCAAAACAGAUACAAUCAACGCAACAGGGGCUUACCAAACUCAACGGCUAUCAACUCGCAGACAGGGUUCGAAAGAAAUGUGGUCCAACAGCAGAAUUCUAUCCCCAUGAGGCCAAUGAAGAUUUCUGGAUUUCCCGUAUGCAUUUGAUUCCAAAUGACAACGGACUAUACUGCCCCGUUGAAAAAGUCGGAACAACGUUCUGGCGCAGGUUUAUUUAUCAGACUCUGAAUACGAACAAGUUCCGGCAUCUAUACCAAGUCCCAAUUUGGCUGGCGUUGUCUGAAAAUUAUCCAUACCCAAGCAAGGGCGCGACCAGGCAAAAUAUCAGCGAGUAUUUUAAGUUCAUGUUCGUCAGGGACCCUUACCAAAGAAUCUUUUCCGCUUAUGUGGACAAAGUGUUCGUGCCCAACCCUAUGUUCUGGGAACGGUUCGGCAAGCCGUCGAUCCAGCUCUUUCGUGAAAACGACACUCGUCGCUGUUUUCAUGAUGCGUCGUUUUUGGAAUUUGUCAGAUUUGCCACGUGGGCGGAGGAAAACAAACAGAUGCUAGACCAGCAUUUUAUGAUGGCAACAGAGCUUUGUAUUCCGUGUAUAACGAACUACACAUUUAUUGGAAAGAUGGAGUCAUUUGGGGAAGAUUCUACCGUCAUAUUUAACAAGUUCAGCAAGAUUUCUUAUACAACGGAAAUUAAAAAGCGAAUGAAAGAUUUAGCAAGUUUGGACGCAAUUGUUGACAGCAUUAACAGUCCUUUUGAGUGGAAGCAGGAUAUUCUUAAGUGUAUGACAUGGUACGAGGCCUUAAAGAGGAUAUGGCGGAAACUUCAAAUACGUGGACUCAUCGACGUAAAUUAUCCGUUACCGCUAGAUGCGACGGCGUCCGAAAACGUUGAUGUGAAAAGAUUUACAAAAUUGGCAACUGAGGCACAUAGAAAGUCUGAUCAAAAGGUCUUAAAUUCUCAGAAAAGGGCAUUGUUUAUUGAGCUAUACAGAAUGGUCCCUAUUGAAGAUUUAAAGAAAUUAAGUGCUGCCUUUGAAAGGGAUUUUUACAUAUUUGAUUACAAUUCUAUGCCUCAUGAAUUAUUUAAUCGUUCCUAGCACUGGCAUGAUUUAGAGAUCACUAUUUUACAACAUAUAUUUUUAUCGGUUACACACGUACGUUAUAAACAUUAUUUUUUGUCGAAAAUAUAUUUCCUAUUUGUUAAUCCGUGUUCAAUUGUCGCUCAAUACACAUACGGUCACCAAUCAUCAAAAUAUUCCAUGACCCGCUCGUGUAUCUUUCAUUGGCUUUCUUGCUGUGUAUCAAGUCUAAACAUUCAUAAAAUGCGUGUUUUUUUUUUGUAACGCGCCCUUUCAUUAAAAUUCUUUGAAAGUUUACUCAACACGGAAUCAAACUCUGUCUUUAAGUCUAUAAAAAGCAGGCGUUAUUGUUUAUGGUAAAUAUUGAACUCAAGAAUGUCAUAUAAAAUGGUGACAACAGUGCUAAUUAACAUCGGCCGAAAACCAAACUGUGCAUAUGUUUGUAUUUUUUUCUUCGGCAUUAUUUUCGACAAGCUUGUUUGUUUAAAAACAUCUAUGGUUCUGAAAACUAUUGUAAAAUAAUCAUGCCUUUAAAUCAUCGUGCAGCGUUUAGUAAAUUCAGGUGUGGUGUAGCACAACUUAGUAUCGAAACGGGGCGUUAUGAAAAUUUAGAUGUCGAUGACCGCAAAUGUCCAUUCUGUGACUCGAUUGAAGAUGAGUCUCAUGUUCUGUUUCAGUGUUCUGUGUACAGCCAUAUAACACAUGUUCUUAUCCAGAAAGCCUGUAUAGUUAAUCCAAACUUUGAAAAUAUGUCAAUGUUAGAGAAGACUAUUCUUGUGUUCUCCGACCCACUUUUGAAAAGAAUAACUGCCAAAUCCUGUUUUGAAAUUCUUAAAUUACGCUCAUUUUAUCUAUGUAAAUAACUAGAUAGAGGCUUUUUAACAACCUGGUCAACAAGUAUUUUAUUCAUCUAUGUGUAAUACUUUGUAUUUUAAUCUUUGAGUAAUUGUACUCAAGAUGGUUGUAGAUAUGUAUAGUUGGUUUUAAGGUUGUAUAGUAACUGAUGCUCUCUAUUUCCUAGCAAUAUAAACUGGAAAACUAUGAUGUAUCAAUAGCUGACGUGUGUCUUAACACUUUCUUCUUCAACACCAAAUUCUUAAAUUAUCCAGUGUCGCCUUGUUUUAGUACCAUUAAAACGUCAAGUAGCCUUAUGUAGGCCAACAUCUUCUUUUUGUCAUGUUUUCCAGUUUUCCUAUUAUGUGUACUAUGAUUAGCAAUGGUUAAUGGCUUUGAUUGUACAGACAAUAUAUGGUGAUAUGUAUAUAUAUAUCAAAGUCUCUUUUUAAGGCUUUUGUAUAGUGGUCAUAUGCAAUGUAUCAAUUUUAUGAAUCUUAAAUGACAUUUUUACAGUAUAUUGUAUAUGCUGGGACUACAUAAUCUAAACUUGCUUCCUAGCACAUUUGAAUGUUAAUGAAGGAACGAUGGCUCUGCAGGGCUUAAAAGUCGAUAUUUUAAUGAUAGGGUCGAAGGAGUUACUUCCCUUCAAUCUGAUAUAGAGCAAUUGUCUACAGUCUGAUAACUGAUUGUAAGUUUGUACUAGGUUAGAAAAAUAUAUUAUCACCACUAAUCAGCUUAUCAUGGUAUGCCAUGAUGGUGGAAUGUUUUCUCGUGGUGGUUAACUAUUUAUGAAAUAAUGUCACAAUUCACAAAGUUGGAUAUUUUUUGGCAACAAAUUUGUAUGACAAAUAGUAAGAUUGGUGGUGGCAAUAUAGCUUUUAACAUGCAUAUUGAUUGUCAUGUAAAGUACAUUGAUAAGCUGUAAAAGUCUUUUAUAACUCAUUUUGUGAGUGGCCAAUGUUUUAUCUUAUUGUUUUAUAUAUGCAAAACUGUGAUAAAUUUAAAUAUUGGAUGAGACUAUAAUAAAUAAAUAAAUUCUGACAUGUUCAGAACGCCGGUUAAAAGGUUACCAAAUUUGCUAAGAAGAGAUGUCCCACUGAAAUCGUUAGCCUUACUUCUGUUUUCUUUCCUUAAUAAUGGCACGACAAAACCGUAAUACCAAGCUUUCGGAAAAUAACCAUAAUGAUACACCCUAUUGAAGCAAUACAUGAUAUAACCUUUGAAUAUAUUACCGGUAAACCUUUUGACAAUGCAUUAAUGCAUUACAUGAUCAACUGGACAUGUAGAUUUGCCUUCACAAUUUCGUUCGUCGUAAUAGGAACAUUCAAUGAUAAGAAAGUAGGGUAUUAACUUUGAAAUCAAUGGCCUCGUUAAAACUUUUGACAUCGUAUAAACGUACACCAUUUUCAUCAUUUUGUAAAUUUGACAAAUACUCUCAGAAUUAUUUUGGUAAUGUGCUGCUGGAUCUCUUAUUACCUGUCGAUCGGAACGCUUUGGAUAGCUAGUCUGGCCUCUAGCAGAAGCAAUCUUGACGACUUUCCUGCUGUUCAGAACAAAUUAAACUGUACUUUCGAUGCUGAUUUGUGCCAAUGGACACAAGCGAAGAACGAUGAUUUUGAUUGGACGCGACACACCGGAAGUACGCCUACUGACGGAACUGGACCAACUACCGACCACGGUGGAUCAGGAUUUUAUCUAUUCAUCGAGACGUCGGCUCCGCGCGCAUUGGACGAACAAUCAUUUCUGAUAAGCCCUUUUAUUGAUACCUGGAACCACGUAACGAUGUGCUUCCAGAUGUUCUACCAUGCAAACGGGGCCUCGCUGGGCGAUCUGCACGUGUCUUUGGAAACUUCCGGUUACGUUAACAGCACCGUGCAGGAAUUUUCCGGACCUCUGAAUAGCAGCGACACGUGGGAAAAGAUUGCGUUCACAAUUAGACCGAUCUCUAAAUUCCAGAUAAGUAUCAGAGGGACGGUUGGCAACGGUUUCCUUGGUGAUAUCGCCAUUGAUGACGUUUCUGUGGCGCCAGGAGCGUGCCCACCGUAAACAUUUAUUCAUCGACAUAUUUAUUUCGAAAAUAAAUGGCUUUUUAUGA